CAUGUUCUGACAUAUGCGAGUUGGGUCUACCCUGUAUGAUGAGGAUUACGGUUAUGCGGUGUGAAUUAAGUCGCAUCCGCGAUACCUCGCUGGUUUUAUCCUGGGCGAGGUCUAAACUUCGAGAAGCCUCUCCUGGACAUUUCAGCCUUCACUGGAAGUCUGGAUACACGUGUCCUUCAAGGAGGAGUCUGGUCUCGAGUUUCUAGGUGAGAGAAAUCUCACUAUAACACAUGCCCCUAGUUUCGCGAUGUGACUUGAGCGGUCACUGAGGGAAACUACUGCUCGAGAGACAGGUGAAAGGUUGUCACGAGGAGGUGACCUUUUGGUUGUCCCAUCGAGGGUUUCGAAAAAUGACGGCUGUAAUGAUUAAUUUUCAUUACCGCUGGGGUGCCACGUCACGAAACUCUUCGGUUUUCGUGUAGGCGUGGCCAUAGCUGGCCGUUAGAUUGGGCGACCUUAGGCAUUCUGGUUGCCACGUGUCACAAUCCCAAUAAAUAAGGGAUAUGGGUAUUUAAACGCUUUGAUACGAAUCAAAUAUCCCAUUUUUCCCUCCUUUCUCUUAACUUCUCCCCAGUAUAUACACCCCAGAAAAAAGAAAUUCAUUCCAACUUUUCUGCCAUUUUCCACAGCAUUUUCAUUCUCAGAAGUGAUCGAGAACAACCGCAGGAAUCGAAACUAAAGAUAGACCAGCUCGACCAACGCUUAGCGCGAAUAAGAAGGGGGUAGCUGAAAUUCUUGGGAGUCUUCCGGUACAAGAUCGCGACUGGCGAUUGCUGUGUACGACUGCCAAAUUGCGAGAACACAAACUGAUCCCCGAGAACGCGAGUCUUCAACGGGAGCCAGUAUAUAAAGAACCAUCUGAGAGACAGCAGGAGCGGAUAGAUAAACGGCUUUCCAAGCAAACUCCUCGAGAUACUUCAGACAUGACUUUCUUGAAGUCUGCCCCUGUCCUGAAGAUCAAGCAAAAGGGUGGAACACCGGCAUCUUCACCAGUCGUCGCCCAGAAGAGGAAGAGCGAUGUGAUGACUUCGCUCGCUGCAGAUUCCUCCAAGAAGUUGGCCAAGACCACUCAGGAUAAGGGGAAGAAGGUUGUCAUUGAU